AGAGCACACUCACGUAGACCUUUUUUAUGCAUGUUUUUUUUGCUGCGAGGUGAUUUGGUACCCAUCGAGUUACUUUCUCUCUCUUCCUCUCUCCUUCCCCUCUGCCAGGAACCGUGCCCCUCCAGAACCUCCCCCUCCGAUCUGCCACAGCCGGCCGAUGUCCCAGCGCCGAAGUGGUACUGUGGUGAGGGAGACGACGGGCCGGAGGCACGAGCGAGGGAAAAAAUCACAGCCCAGGCCCUGCUUGGGGCAGCAGACUGCGUCGACCGCCUGGAGCGUAGUGAGCACCAUCCACGGCGGGCGGGGGCAUGUGCAGACUAUUUAGCAUUUGAGGUUGACCCAUUUUUCUGGAUCCAAAUUUAUUUCACCUCGUUAUUUUUCAAAUUUCUUCACCGUUUGAUGGAACAUGUCUAUGUUGAUUUUUCUUUGUUGUGCUCACUGGAAAAAUCCAAAUGGGUUGUUUUGGAAAAACUAGAAUGGGAGUCUGAUGUUGCUCCAGCUCCAACAAUUUUGGAUUCAAAUGUGCUGUAAUUCCUCUCUCUUACUCGAAUUAGGUUUGCUUUUUUUGGAGACAAAAACUUUUGGAGUCGGGGCCAGCUAUCGAUCUGGGGCUCACCAAUGUUCUACCAUCCACCUUCGCAGAGUUUAUCAUUUUAGUUUAGUUCUAGCACUUCAGUACGUGGAUUUGCUUCACAUCCUUUUUUUCCGAUCAGUUUCUAGGUACAUGUUUUAGUUGCUGUUUUUUGGGAUUUGAAGGAGGAGCAGCUACUUGUCGAGAGGCAGUGACGAGCUUCCUUUUUUCUCUGCUGAUUUGAGCCCCUGCUGACUGGACCAUGGCGGAAGGCCGAUGGCCGCGUCAAUGGGCUAGACGGGUAGCAGGGGCGCAGACUGAACUUAUGCUGGUUGUCAUCCAUAGUUGCUUUGUGAGAUACAACCUGAACAAACCUGUGUCAUGUUAAAAAAACACAAUCUUCAGUCUAGAUAACUAAUCUAUGUACAUUUUAUUAUCUUGUAAGAUACAACCUGAAUAAUCAUGUGUUAUGUUAAAACAACACAAUCUUAAGUCUAGAUAAUUGAUCUAUGCUCAUUUCAUUAUUUUGUUUAUCAUAGGGGGGUUGACAGAACUCCAGAUGACUCAAUCUGUGUCAUUCUUCAAUUCACACCCACACCCGUCUUUGCAAUUUUGUGCUUGCUUCAAUUCAAGAAAAAGUCCCCUUUGAAGUGUUUCGCCUCUACUUAACUCUUUCCUCUCAAUUUAGCGGUUGUCUAAAAAAAUCCCCUGAGGCUAACUGUGACCGGAGAAAAAGUCACUUCUAGUCUUACAAAUGGAGACACUAGUAUUUCCAUGUCAGUUUUGCGCUCUUCAGUAUAGGCUGUUGUUAUGUAUCAGGAACGUUUAAUAAUCGUAGGGCGUGUCAAUCUGAGUGCUGGUAAAGCACAGAAGUGUGAUCCUUGGGAGAAUUUUUUUCUCAUCUUCUCAUCUUACUGAUAUUUUGGUAGCGGAUCAGCAUUUUGUCAUCAUUAUUUCGCAUCGUUAAUUUUGGUUUACUGGUUUAGUAAGGAUGACGUGGAGACCAUGAACAAUCGUACCGCAGCCGUCUAAAAUUGUCAUUGUUUCCUUUUUCAGUGAUUAAAACUAUCUACCUUUAUUUGGUUAACCUCAUAAUACGGUUAGUUUAACCUGUUUAACAUCUGCUACCAAGAAAACUGUACCUGACCAUGUGACCCUUCCGUGUCUGCAUCUAGCAUCUGCCUCAUGUUCUUUUCAAUUUUCAUGUUUGUGUAAUAAGUUGAGUGGUUGACUGAUGAUGAUAUUCAAAAUCUGUGUCAUGUACAUGACCAAGAACUGAUGAUCAUGAACAUGAGCAAGAACUUUCUAACGGGUCUCUGCCUCCGUAGCUAGGUGGACUCAAGGGCCUAGCAACAACUUGCUAGAAGGAAGCCUCCUGCCGGAGCUCGCCGAGCACGAGAGACUCAUGCUGCUCGACCUCUGGAGCCUCAUCGAAGGGAUGUCGGAGUUCCUGCAGUGCAUGGCAUCGCCGAAGGACCUGCAGCCAACAACCCGCUCAGAGGUAGGUUAAUGUGCUCUGGCUCGGAUAAGAUGGCGAGCCUGGCCACGCUAGACCUGUCCAAUGCCGGGCUGGUCGGGAGCAUCCCGGAGUCCAUGGCGGCGAUGCCUAGGCUGCGGUUCAACCGCAACCGCCUCUCCGUGCCAUUCCGGCCAAGCUCCUCUUGGUGCCGAGCAUCGGGGCAUCUACAUGUCGUAGUUUCGGCAUGAUCUAUUUUUCUUCAUGAUGUUUUCGGCAUAGAUGCUAGCUGUACCUUAGUACACAAAUUCGCAUGUUGUUUCAAUUCAUGUCCGCAACUUCUAUAAGUUAUUUGCCUAGCAGCACCAUUCUUGUAUGUACAUUCUUAUGCCGACAGAAUUUACAGCACUAAUUUCUGAUCGCUCUUUCCUAA